ACCAUAAUGUUUGUUGAGGUGCCAAGUUUUAACCCCAAAACAGGGCCAUAUUUCUGUUGUAGAACUGACAUUUUUUUGUAAGGCUCUUUUCCUAGUUCAAACAUGUUACCAAAAAUUGGUAAUCCAGGUGGUCCUGGAGGUAAUUUGUAAGAACAUUUUGUAGUCUUUUUCUGAGAAAAAAAUAGGAUGAAAACUGGUAAUAAGAUGAUUGAAGAAAAACACAGAUAACUCCAUUCCCAUUCCAUCUCUC